rnacentral:rRNA from 1 species
GACGAACGCUGGCGGCGUGCUUAACACAUGCAAGUCGAGCGGUAAGGCCCUUUCGGGGGUACACGAGCGGCGAACGGGUGAGUAACACGUGGGUGACCCGCCCUCAGCUCUGGGAUAAGCCUGGGAAACCGGGUCUAAUACCGGAUAUGACUCCAUGACGCAUGUUGUGGGGUGGAAAGCCUUGUGCGGCUGAGGAUGGGCCCGCGGCCUAUCAGCUUGUUGGUGGGGUGAUGGCCACCAAGGCGACGACGGGUAGCCGGCCUGAGAGGGCGACCGGCCACACUGGGACUGAGACACGGCCCAGACUCCUACGGGAGGCAGCAGUGGGGAAUCUUGCGCAAUGGGCGAAAGCCUGACGCAGCGACGCCGCGUGAGGGAUGACGGCCUGGUUCGUAACUACUUUCAUCUCGACGAGCGACGAGUGGNGGGUACGGAGGACGAGAAGAAGACGACCGGACCGACCGUACG